rnacentral:lncRNA from 1 species
AAGAUCAAAUAGCAUCGGGCUAUUGACUCGCAGUGGUCACAAGAGGCAUGCAUCUUCGAAGGGAGAGCCCAGCAAAGACUCGGCUGAGACAUCAAGAAAUGCUUGCAUGUAACUUCCUAAUGCACUCAGUAGGUCUUAUGUCCAUGACCUUGCAUUGUUAUAGUUGCAAGGUCUUAUGUCCAUGACCUCGCAUUGUUAUAGUUGCAAGGUUAUGUAUGCAUGCUUACGGAUGUUUUCAUGGCUUAAUGGCGCCGCUAGGAAAUGAC